rnacentral:rRNA from 1 species
GAUGAACGCUAGCUACAGGCUUAACACAUGCAAGUCGAGGGGCAGCAUUAUCGAAGCUUGCUUUGGUAGAUGGCGACCGGCGCACGGGUGAGUAACGCGUAUCCAACCUUCCCAUCACUCAGGGAUAGCCCGCCGAAAGGCGAAUUAAUACUCUAUGUUCUCCUUUGCAGGCAUCUAACGAGGAACAAAGAUUCAUCGGUAAGGGAUGGGGAUGCGUCUGAUUAGCUUGCCGGCGGGGUAACGGCCCACCGGGGCAACGAUCAGUAGGGGUUCUGAGAGGAAGGUCCCCCACAUUGGUACUGAGACACGGACCAAACUCC